UCCUUGCUAGGUCAGACAGUAAAGUGUCUGCCUGAAAUGCGGAAGACCCGGGUUCGAUCCCUGGGUUGGGAA
rnacentral:tRNA from 1 species